rnacentral:rRNA from 1 species
UGGGGAAUAUUGGACAAUGGGCGCAAGCCUGAUCCAGCCAUGCCGCGUGAGUGAUGAAGGCCCUAGGGUUGUAAAGCUCUUUUGUGCGGGAAGAUAAUGACUGUACCGCAAGAAUAAGCCCCGGCUAACUUCGUGCCAGCAGCCGCGGUAAUACGAAGGGGGCUAGCGUUGCUCGGAAUCACUGGGCGUAAAGGGUGCGUAGGCGGGUCUUUAAGUCAGGGGUGAAAUCCUGGAGCUCAACUCCAGAACUGCCUUUGAUACUGAGGAUCUUGAGUUCGGGAGAGGUGAGUGGAACUGCGAGUGUAGAGGUGAAAUUCGUAGAUAUUCGCAAGAACACCAGUGGCGAAGGCGGCUCACUGGCCCGAUACUGACGCUGAGGCACGAAAGCGUGGGGAGCAAACAGGAUUAGAUACCCUGGUAGUCCACGCCGUAAAACGAUGAAUGCCAGCCGUUGGGGAGUUUACUCUUCAGUGGCGCAGCUAACGCCUUAAGCAUUCCGCCUGGGGAGUACGGUCGCAAAGAUUAAAAACUUAAAUGAAUUGACGGGGGUCAUAGCUGUUUCCUG